rnacentral:tRNA from 1 species
CGUAAUUUAACUUAAUUAAAGUGUCUGUUUUGCAAAUAGAAGAUGUGGGUUAGUGUCCCGUAAGUCUUA